GCUGUGGUUAAAAAGCUCGUAGUCGGAUUUCAGUACUGUUUGCGAUGCCGCUUGACGAAAUGUCGAGCCGUCGCUGCAGCACUCACCUUCUGUGCAUUUCGUACCUGUGCAAUUAAGUUUGUGCAGCGAGCGGAUGUACACGUUCACUUUGAAGAAAUUCUAAAGCUCAAAUUAGCCGUUCGGCUGUUGAGUCAAGCAUGGGAUGAUGGAAGAAGACUUCGUCUUGCUUUCGUUGGUUUUGUCUAGAUGAGUAAUGAUUAAUAGGAGCGGUUGGGGAACUCUGUAUUGAGAGUGAAGCGGUGAAAUGCUGGGAUCCUUUCAAGACAAACUGAUGCGAAGGCUUUGUUCAAAGACGCCUCCAUUGAUCAAGAGCGAAAGCGCAAGUAGCGAAGAUGAUCAGAUACCGUCGUAGUUUGCGCCAUAAACGAUGCCGGCUAGGGAUUCGAAGAAGAUAAACGAAUGUCUCCUCGAGCACCUUAGAGAAAUUAAAGCUUUUGGGUUCCAGGGGGAGUAUAGUCGCAAGGCCGAAACUUAAAGGAAUUGACGGAAGGGCACCACCAGGGGUGGAGCUUGCGGCUUAAUUUGACCCAACACGGGGAAACUUAUCAGGGCAGGACAUAGUUAGGAAUAUCAGAUUGAGAGCUCUUAUAUGAUUCUUUGGGUGGUGGUGCAUGGCCGUUCUUAGUUGGUGGAGUGAUUUGUCUGGUUGAUUCCGUUAACGAGCGAGACCUUAACCCUUAAAUAGACACUCGAAUCAUCUACCUGGGUGAAGCUAGUGCGGCAGUUCGGCCUUAAUCGGCCUGCUCUUCGCUGGUGGAUCCCUUGAUGCUAUUCGUGGCUGCUCUUCUUAUGGGGUCUCCUGGCAUCCAGUCAGGGGAAGUUUGAGGCAAUAACAGGUCUGCAUGCCCUUAGAUGUUCUGGGCCGCACGCGUGCUACACUGACAGAUCCAACGAGUACUUCCUUGGUCGAGAGGCCUGGGUAAUCUUUUAAACGUCUGUCGUGCUGGGGAUCGGGCCUUGCAAUUAUUGCCCGUGAACGAGGAAUCCCUUGUAGAUGCAGUUCAUCAAGCUGCGUCGAAUACGUCCCUGCCCUUUGUACACACCGCCCGUCGCUCCUACUGAUGGACUCGCUGGCGAGGUCUCGGGAGCACAGUCUGUUCUUGCGGCAACGCUCCAGACAGUGUCAACUUGAUCGAGCCUACGUGUCUAAAAGAAGGA
rnacentral:rRNA from 1 species